UACGGAGGGUGCGAGCGUUAAUCGGAAUUACUGGGCGUAAAGCGCACGCAGGCGGUUUGUUAAGCUAGAUGUGAAAGCCCCGGGCUCUACCUGGGAUGGUCAUUUAGAACUGGCAGACUAGAGUCUUGGAGAGGGGAGUGGAAUUCCAGGUGUAGCGGUGAAAUGCGUAGAUAUCUGGAGGAACAUCAGUGGCGAAGGCGACUCCCUGGCCAAAGACUGACGCUCAUGUGCGAAAGUGUGGGUAGCGAACAGC
rnacentral:rRNA from 1 species